UAUAAACGAGCUGCGUUUAUAUGAGUCAUUUUGCGAGCUAAAAUAAGGGUAAAGUCGUCAACAGGGAGUUAUCAUCUUAACUGAAGACUAGCGUCGUUAAUUCUUUGCAAUCUAACGUCUGUUUGCAAUUGUUUGACCCUGUUCAUAAUUAUACUGACCUCGUUGUUCACUCCGAGUAAUUUUGCCUUUCAGCUCCUGCUAAUGGAGGUAGCAGUAACUUGGUGAAGAAUUGAUGCGAAAUCUCUUGGUAAAUGUUGAGGCGCGAUUGAGUGAUGUACAUCUAGGGUUUCAAAAGGAAGUUCUAUGCAGGGAUUGGUUGGCAGGAAGAAUGGAUUCAUUAGGUAGUACAAACCGGAAGCACAAAAUGUGCAGAACUGGAAAUUUUUCUGAGGAUGGACUACCGGGUCAAAUAAAGAAGCUUUAUUCGGAGAUAUUCAACUAAUUCAAGGUCAUUAUAACUGCUUAGCUUAUGUGACUGUUCUGGUUGAGAAGAGAAUGCUUAAGCAGCCCUUCAUUGCGACAAUACCAAAAGCCACCUCAGUUUGGAUCUCAUGGUUCAAGUCAUCAUCCCUUGAUGAGACAAAAGAUAAGACCAGUUAGUAUCAUUGUUGGGGUCCCUCAAAUUUCACUUGUAAUUGUGUGUUCCUAUCCCUUUUUGGCUCUUUCUGAGUUAUAUAAUGAUUCAUGAAUGUUGCACUGACAUUGCUUUUGAGAUGUCAAGCGACUGUAAUGUACUACUACUGCUUGUGUAUCAUGUACAGUACAAGGAGAUGAAGAAAACCAGCAAAUAUUAUUUAUAAUAAUAUGUAUUUUCAAUUACAAGACCCUUUUUCUGAGCAUGAUACAUUUCAUUCAUUGAAUGUGACAACUGAAAUAGCAUCACAGAGCUUGUAUUUGAGGAGUUUACAUUUUCUGGAGUUCACAUACUAGAUUUAACAUCUCCUUUGUACACUAACGCUUUCCAUGAU